rnacentral:rRNA from 1 species
AUUGAACGCUGGCGGCAUGCUUUACACAUGCAAGUCGAACGGCAGCACGGGAGCUUGCUCCUGGUGGCGAGUGGCGAACGGGUGAGUAAUGCAUCGGAACGUACCCAGUAGUGGGGGAUAGCCCGGCGAAAGCCGGAUUAAUACCGCAUAUUUCCUGAGGGAGAAAGCGGGGGACCCUCGGGCCUCGCGCUACUGGAGCGGCUGAUGUCGGAUUAGCUAGUUGGUGAGGUAAAGGCUCACCAAGGCGACGAUCCGUAGCUGGUCUGAGAGGAUGAUCAGCCACACUGGGACUGAGACACGGCCCAGACUCCUACGGGAGGCAGCAGUGGGGAAUUUUGGACAAUGGGGGCAACCCUGAUCCAGCCAUGCCGCGUGAGUGAAGAAGGCCUCGGUUGUAAGACGUCUUCUAGGUGGAAGAAAGUACACUACCCGAACUA